UGGUCCUACGGGACGCAGCAGUGGGGAAUAUUGCACAAUGGGGGGAACCCUGAUGCAGCGACGCCGCGUGGGUGAGGAAGUACUUCGGUAUGUAAAGCCCCAUCAGCAGGGAAGAAAAUGACGGUACCUGACUAAGAAGCCCCGGCUAACUACGUGCCAGCAGCCGCGGUAAUACGUAGGGGGCAAGCGUUAUCCGGAUUUACUGGGUGUCAAGGGAGCGUAGACGGCGUGCCAAGUCUGGCGUGAAAGGCCGGGGCUCAACCCCGGGACUGCAUUGGAAACUGGCAUGCUGGAGUGCCGGCGGG
rnacentral:rRNA from 1 species